AUUAUAUAACAGUGCUAGAGUACUGAAAUUAAGAGCUGGGCUCUGAAGUAAACCUACUUGGAUUCAUAGUUGGGUUACUGAUAACACAGGCCGGGUGACCUUGGAUUGCUAAAGACAAAAACACAAUCCAAAUAAAUUAAAUUCCAGAAAGAGAAAAGCCCUUUCUAUGAGAGAAAAACACAAAAUCUGUGGGCAUGUAAGGAGAAAGAGCAAACCUGCUAUAGACAGAGGAAAAACUAAUGGAAAACAUGGUUCACAUGUGG
rnacentral:lncRNA from 1 species